CGGAACACGUACACAACCUUCCUACAAGUGGGGAAUAGCCCAGAGAAAUUUGGAUUAAUACCCCGUAACAUAUAGAUGUGGCAUCACAACUAUAUUAUAGCUUCGGCGCUUGUUGAUGGGUGUGCGGCUGAUUAGGCAGUUGGCGGGGUAACGGCCCACCAAACCUACGAUCAGUAACUGGUGUGAGAGCACGACCAGUCACACGGGCACUGAGACACGGGCCCG
rnacentral:rRNA from 1 species